rnacentral:rRNA from 1 species
UGGAGCAUGUGGCUUAAUUUGACUCAACGCGGGAAAUCUUACCGGGUCCGGACACACUGAGGAUUGACAGACAUUUAUAUACCGUAACAAGUAUAUAUUUAAAGAUGCUAGUUCUUUCAUGAUUAUGUGAUAGGUGGUGCAUGGCCGUUCUUAGUUCGUGGAGUGAUCUGUCUGCUUAAUUGCGUUUCAUAUUAUUAUAUAAUAUACACACAUCACGUGUGUUAUAUUAUUACUUUGAAAGCAACGAACGUGACCGUAGCCUUUUAUUAUAUACGCUACACGUAUAUUAAUUAAAGGGACCGCUGUAUCUUUCUUUAAACCAGAGUAAGGUUACGGCAAUAACAGGUCUGUGAUGCCCUUCGAUGUUCCGGGCUGCACACGUGCUACAAUGAUUAUUUCAUUAAGUAUCUACUGUGCAAUAAUAUAUUAUUAUUAUUCAAAAACCUACUCUGAGAAUGAGCGGGUAAUCAAUUAGAAGUAAUGAUUUCCAAAUUUAUACACUCAUGUAUACCGUAUAUAUUAUCCCAUAUUUUAAUUAAUAUGCGUGUAUAAUAUUGUACGCUGUACGUAUAUUUAUUAAUUCAUGGUGGGGAUAGACUAUUGUUAAAUGUUGGUCUCGGUCUUAACUAGGAAUGCCUUGUACGGGUCAUUGAUUCAACAGACCACCCGGAAUACGUCCCUGCCCUUUGUACACACCGCCCGUCGCUCUUACCGAUGAACUUCGCUAUGAAUCUAUUGGACUGUACCAUUGUGGUAUGGAAAGAUAUAUGAAUAGUGUGGUUUAAAGGAAAGAGAAGUCGUAACAAGGCA